CCCUGCCCUUUGUACACACCGCCCGUCGCUACUACCGAUUGAAUGGCUCAGUGAGGCCUUCGGACUGGCCCAGGCCGGUCGGCAACGACCAGCCAGGGCCGGAAAGUUGGUCAAACUUGGUCAUUUAGAGG
rnacentral:rRNA from 1 species